AGAAGCAGCGAUAUCAGCGUUUUUGGACGCAGUUUGGGCUCCGUUGGCGGCCAUCUUUGUUUCGGCCACCAUCCCAGUGAAAAACAGCAUAAUCAAGCCUUCUGGCGGCUCAAACUUGGAGGAAAGGGAGUCCCGAGGUGCCCGAAGAUACGAGGAACCUUCGAUGAGCAAAUACAAUGUUUCAAAAAGCGAAAAUCGCGUGAAAAAAGAUUUGUUUACAUGUGGUUUCCCGCCUACAUGGGCGCCGCCAUCUUGUAAGGGGCAGCACAGCUACUCAGUGUUUGUAAACAACGUGAAAAGCCAACUCCAGCGGCUAAAACUGCCCUAGGGUGUUCAGAGGGACCCCAGCAACGGCUGUGUUCAGCCACAGUGUGUGAUAAGCUUCGUGAGGCUUCAUAUUGAAGAAGUCGCCCUACCUGUGCUGUCACCAGUGGGGGUCGUCAUGUUGUGUUGCUACCCCCAGCGGGGUGCGACUGUUUUUACAACAAAUCCGUGCAGGGGCGGAGCCUCGCCUCGAUGACGUAUCACCAUUUUCUUUUUUUUCCCCUCUGACGGCGCGGUCGGUGUGCGGCACUUCAGUUAGGAUCAGCUCACUCCACGUGAGCGAGACGUUGGCGCGCGUAUCAUACUUACGGAGUGCAUUGUUUUGUUUCACACGGAAUGCAACGAUGAGCGAGCCUGACCGACAGAAGCUGAUCGAAAAGUACCUCCAAGGGUUACAUCAACAUAAAGACGGCUACUCCCAUGGCUACCUGAAGUCAGACGAAGAGUUUAAGCUUUUUGAGAGGUCCUUGGCUGCCGACAACGAGAGGUAUGCUGUGCGGACAUCAAGAGACCUGAACAAGCCGUCCAAAUGGUUCAAGCACCACUGACUGGCCGAAGGAGGUGUACGAGAAGAAGCGAAUGAACCUCCAAGGCACAAAGAAGAAAGGGUGUGCAGCAACAAUGAAUUUGAAGUGGAUUGAAUUGUACCCAGAUUUCCAGGUGGACCUUCCCCAGCCAUGCGGCCAGACAAAAGAGGGUCGGCUGAAAGCAGACAAGGCCAAGCAGCUACAGGAGGUGCUUGACGCAGAGCAGCAGACUGUGGCCAAAGAGACGCGGAUAUACAUUAAAAUUGCCAACUGCGGUUCCCAUCGUAACCAUGGUUUCGAGGACAUGGAAGCUUUUAGCCAAAACAUGGACAGGAACAUUGCUGACCGAAUUCAAAUGUUGGCAAGGGAAGGAAUUACAUCUGUAUCAGACGUGAAAAAGUGUCUGCACUAUUACGUGCACGACGUACUUUUUGCAGACAAGGAAAAGCCUGAUAGCAGCUGCAGGGCCUUUUUCCCAACACAUCGUGAUAUCAGCAACCAGA